CCUACGGGAGGCAGCAGUGAGGAAUAUUGGUCAAUGGGCUUACGCCUGAACCAGCCAAGUCGCGUGAGGGAAGACUGUCCUAUGGGUUGUAAACCUCUUUUGUCAGGGAGCAACGCCGGCUACGUGUAGCCGGACUGAGAGUACCUGAAGAAAAAGCAUCGGCUAACUCCGUGCCAGCAGCCGCGGUAAUACGGAGGAUGCGAGCGUUAUCCGGAUUUAUUGGGUUUAAAGGGUGCGUAGGCGGAAUGCCAAGUCAGCGGUAAAAUCGCGGGGCUCAACCUCGCUCCGCCGUUGAAACUGGCGUUCUUGAGUGAGCGAGAAGUAUGCGGAAUGCGUGGUGUAGCGGUGAAAUGCAUAGAUAUCACGCAGAACUCCGAUUGCGAAGGCAGCAUACCGGCGCCCAACUGACGCUGAAGCACGAAAGCGUGGGGAUCGAACAGGAUUAGAUACCCCAGUAGUC
rnacentral:rRNA from 1 species